rnacentral:rRNA from 1 species
UACGGAGACUACGAGCGUUACUCGGAUUCACUGGGCGUAAAGGGAGCGCAGGCGGAAUGAUGUGUUAGGUGUGAAAUCCCGGGGCUUAACUCCGGAAUUGCGCCUAAAACUGUCAUUCUAGAGACUUGGAGAGGUAAGCGGAAUUUCCAGUGUAGCGGUAAAAUGCGUAGAUAUUGGAAGGAACACCGAUGGCGAAGGCAGCUUACUGGACAAGAUCUGACGCUCAUGCUCGAAAGCGUGGGGAGCAAAAGGG